CCUACGGGUGGCUGCAGUGGGGAAUAUUGGACAAUGGGCGAAAGCCUGAUCCAGCCAUGCCGCGUGUGUGAAGAAGGCCUUCGGGUUGUAAAGCACUUUCAGUGGGGAAGAAAGCCUUGGGGCUAAUACCCUCGAGGAAGGACAUCACCCACAGAAGAAGCACCGGCUAACUCCGUGCCAGCAGCCGCGGUAAUACGGAGGGUGCGAGCGUUAAUCGGAAUUACUGGGCGUAAAGCGCGCGUAGGCGGUCUGAUAAGCCGGUUGUGAAAGCCCCGGGCUCAACCUGGGAACGGCAUCCGGAACUGUCAGGCUAGAGUGCAGGAGAGGAAGGUAGAAUUCCCGGUGUAGCGGUGAAAUGCGUAGAGAUCGGGAGGAAUACCAGUGGCGAAGGCGGCCUUCUGGACUGACACUGACGCUGAGGUGCGAAAGCGUGGGUAGCAAACAGGAUUAGAUACCCCUGAAGUC
rnacentral:rRNA from 1 species